rnacentral:rRNA from 1 species
AACGAACGCUGGCGGCAGGCCUAACACAUGCAAGUCGAACGCAUCGCAAGAUGAGUGGCGCACGGGUGAGUAACACGUGGGAAUGUAUCCUUUGGUUCGGAAUAACGUUUGGAAACGGACGCUAAUACCGGAUGAGCCCUUAGGGGGAAAGAUUUAUCGCCGAAGGAGCAGCCCGCGUCUGAUUAGGUAGUUGGUGGGGUAAAGGCCUACCAAGCCGACGAUCAGUAGCUGGUCUGAGAGGAUGAUCAGCCACACUGGGACUGAGACACGGCCCAGACUCCUACGGGAGGCAGCAGUGGGGAAUAUUGGACAAUGGGCGCAAGCCUGAUCCAGCCAUGCCGCGUGAGUGAUGAAGGCCUUCGGGUUGUAAAGCUCUUUCGCACACGACGAUGAUGACGGUAGUGUGAGAAGAAGCCCCGGCUAACUUCGUGCCAGCCGCCGCCGUAACAC